UGCCAAGUGCCAAGGUGGACGGUGAGAAAGAAGGAAGAAGAGAUGAGGAAAGUAGAAAGAAAAAAGAAAUGGCAUAUAGGAUUUGGUUGUCGAUAUCUCAUUUCAUUUUCUUCUAUCCUCAAACCAAACACAAACACAAACACAAACACAAACACAAACAUAAACAUAAGGAUAAUUCCAUCCCCCUUAACAAAAUACUAGAUGGGACCCUCAUCCCUCAAACUAGAACGGAACCCUCCCAUCCACCAUGUCUCCCAACCAAACACUACCAUAUAAUUAAAUUAAGACAAUUCUCUUCUUCUAAUAAUAUUUGUGCCAAAGUAAAAGCUUUUUGCGUCCUUCCAAAAAAAUAAAGGAGAAGGAUGUCCAUUUUAUAACCUAAAUAAAUCACUUGUCGGUUUGAACCUUUUUCAAAUUUUCUUAUUCAAAGUCCACCACCCCCUUCACCAUAGAAAAGAUUUUACUGCGACUAGGUCAAUUCACCUUUUACUAAAAAAAUGAUUUUCUAUUUUUUAUAAAAAAAGUCUGUGUAACUCCC
rnacentral:lncRNA from 1 species